rnacentral:lncRNA from 1 species
UAUAUAUCUAUAAUUUUUCAUAUUAUAGAUAGAGUGCUACAUAACAUUAAUAACAGUGACAAAAUAGUUGUGUGGAAAGGAAAAUUGAAGCAAGUUUUGGACUUUCUGCCACUCAAGGGUGGAACAAAUAGCAGUUGGGAUGUAGAGAGAAGAUACUGACAAGAAUGACAGUUGGUGGGGGGAAGGGAACUUGGAAAGUGUCAGUUGGCCUAGAGAGUCUCUUUUCUGGCCCUCAGACUGGAAGGAGUUCUCUCCCUGUUUUGGGAUAGAAGUAACUCUAUUCCGGAUCUACUCAACUGUGUGCUUUACCCUGCUUCCUGUGACUGUGUCAUUGGACAAAAAGAUUUAAGGGGAGCAGUUUGAACUGCAAGGCUGGGCUUUAGGGGUGUCAGCCCAAGGAGACAGGCCCAACCAACUCUUCAAAAGAUUGCAGUUGUCUAUGACUCACAACCACACAGUAAUACCAGAAGAAUCCUGUUGUUAUGAAGAUGGGAGAACCUAUCUGUCAUUAAAAGAACCUUGCAAUUUUCCAAAAGGCAAUUCAGCACAUUCUCCUUAUGUUCUGUUCUGAGCCCAACUCUUGAGAACUGAAGAAAAAAGGAUUCCAGAUCUGAUCUGGCCAGAGCAGAAUAUGCCAAAAAGAGCAAAAUAUACCUGAAAGAGAACCUCCUUAUAAUGGGAAGGGGAGAGGAUGAGAGAGAGAGCAAACAUGAUCCUAGUCCAUACAGAGAUUUUCAAGAAGAAAAUCAAGAUGGCCAGAGUGAAGAAAAUAAAUAUUCUAAAUAAAAGGCAGUGUGGUAUGGUGGGCAGAGCUGAAAUCUGGAGCUCUUGUUAAAAUUCUAAAUGUACUGCUCAUCACUUUUCAUCCCUGAGAUUCACUUUCCUAAAUUGUAAAAUGGAGGAGAAGUGAAGAAGAGGUCACUGCGAGAUCUUUAAGGUAUCUUUAGCUCUAAAAUUUUAUGAAUCCUUUGAAGAGUUAUAGGACACUUCACCUUGUAUUAACACUAUAAAGGGGAAUUCAAGAUAAAAUAUGUCACUUUAGGCCCCAUAGGUUCUUGUUGCAAAAGAACUAACAAGACCUAGUUUUAACUAUAUAAUUUUCAAUUAUUUGUGGCCUAGACAUGAUGUUUACUAGUGCUAUAUGAAGUUUCAAAUUACAAUAAGCAUUGUUAUCAAUGGUUUUAAAGGGACAAAAC